UCUAAAAACUGUUACAAAUUUCUUUCACAGUCUGACUGCCCAUACUCAGAAAAAGUUCCAAGUAUUAAAAUCCCAAUGGACAUCAUGGAACAGCAACCUUUCCUAAGAGAUAGCAAACCUUCCGACAGAGAAAGAUCACCAACAUUCCUUGAACGCCACACAUCAUGCUGAUAAAAUUCCUUUCCUUCAGUCACUCGGUAUGCCAAGUCCUCCUAGAACUCCAGUAAAAGUUGUGCCUCAAAUUAGGAUAGAACUUGAGCCUGAAGACAAUGAUUAUUUCUGGAGGAGCAAGGGAACAGAAACUACAUUGUAACCUGUUUGUCUUUCUUUAAAAUUGACAGUUUUUGUUGUUAAUGUUCUGGGGUUUUGUCUGGUUGUUUAUUUUUUAAUUUUUGUUUUGUUUUGGGUUUUGGUCAUUGGCCAAAUAAUAUAGUGCUCACUCUGCUUCUCUCUUGCAUAGGUAAAAUCAAGACCAUACUGCACUGUUCCUUAAAAACAUCUGAAGAAUCCCCUUUUCUUUUCACACUUUCAGAUGUGUCCUCUGACAACCAAAUUCCUCUGUCACUGAAGACACACACAGACCCUGUCCUUUUCCUUUAUUAAGCAGAGGGCAAAAGUAUUAAGGAUUUUGUAACACCUUUUUAACGUAUUGAAGGAACUUACAACUAGCUUUGGAGCUGUGCUUACUGGCUUGUCUGUCUGCCUGGUAGAAUAAACCUUGACCUCCAGGCAGAGUCCCUUCUUGCUUCUAGAGCUUUCCAGGACUGGAAAAAGUGCUGCAAUGCGAACUUGCUCUUGCUUGUAAGCCCUAAUCUUAGAGUUAUCAAAAGAAGAAAAACUAAAGGUACUUAACUCCCUGUAGAGAAACUGUUGCCAUCAUUGUAGCAAGUGCUGGAAUAUCCCUUUUUCCUAUGCAACUUUUUUUAACCCUUUAAUGAACUUAUCUGUUGAGUACAUUGAAGAAUAUUUUUCUUCGUAGAUUUUGUUGUUUAAAUUAUGGGGCCUAACCUGCAACUUAUUUUUUGUCAAUUUUUUAAACUUUUUUUUAAUUACUGUAAAGAAAAUGAAUUUUUUCCUGCAGCAGGAAACAUAGUUUUGAGUAGUUCUACCUCUUAUUUGUAGCUGCCAGGCUUUCUGUAAAAAUUGUAUUGUAUAUAAUGUGAUUUUUACACACACACACACACACACACACACACACACACACACACAC